GUGCCUGUGGGAUGAACAGGUCCCAAUAUUUACACCAUUUUAUUCACUUUGUCAGCUAAUGGUCAUAUUUUUAGCUGAUCAUUGAGAAUGGGAAAUAC
rnacentral:snoRNA from 18 species